rnacentral:misc_RNA from 1 species
GAGAAUUUUCCAAUAUGGUGACGACCUACUUUGUAUUGUGAUUGCAUCCCAAAGUUUGUGUAACUUGAAUUUGUUUCAAACAUGUAUUGUCUAACAUGAAUUACAAAAAAAUAUUGAUUUUUGCAGUGUUUUGAUUUGCUAAAUAAAUGAGUAAUUGUGUAUUAAAGUGAAAUUGUGUAAAUGAUGAAUAAAUGUAGUUAAUUUUAGUUUUCAAGCAUGGAGGAUAAUGUAAAAAAAUGAAUUAAUUUAAUGAGGGGGCAUUCGUGUUGUCUGAAGCCCAUUAGAGUGUCAUUGUAAUUUGUACUAGAGUUUAAGAACAGUUUAUAUGAAACGAAAACUCCCAUUCUUGUAACUGUAUUUCUUGUUUGAAGAAGAUAUAUUGAAUGCGAGCCAAUUUGUUAUUGAAAAAAUGACAAUAAAAUAAUAAGUUUUU